rnacentral:rRNA from 1 species
AUUGAACGCUGGCGGCGUGCCUAACACAUGCAAGUCGAGCGGUAACAGGUGUAGCAAUACAUGCUGACGAGCGGCGAACGGGUGAGUAAUGCUUUGGAAUCUUCCCAGUAGUGGGGAAUAACCAGUCGAAAGAUUGGCUAAUACCGCAUACGUCUGUAAAGGGAAAGCGGGGGAUCGCAAGACCUCGCGCUAUUGGAUGAGCCAAAGUCGGAUUAGCUAGNGGUGGGUAAUGGCCUACCAAGGCGACAAUCCGUAGCUGGUCUGAGAGGACGACCAGCCACACCGGAACUGAGACACGGUCCGGACUCCUACGGGAGGCAGCAGUGGGAAUAUUGGACAAUGGGGGAAACCCUGAUCCAGCGACGCCGCGUGUGUGAAGAAGGCCUGC